rnacentral:rRNA from 1 species
AUUGAACGCUGGCGGCAUGCCUUACACAUGCAAGUCGAACGGCAGCAUGAUCUAGCUUGCUAGAUUGAUGGCGAGUGGCGAACGGGUGAGUAAUACAUCGGAACGUGCCCUGUAGUGGGGGAUAACUAGUCGAAAGAUUAGCUAAUACCGCAUACGACCUGAGGGUGAAAGUGGGGGACCGCAAGGCCUCAUGCUAUAGGAGCGGCCGAUGUCUGAUCAGCUAGUUGGUGAGGUAAAGGCUCACCAAGGCGACGAUCAGUAGCUGGUCUGAGAGGGCGAUCAGCCACGCUGGGACUGAGACACGGCCGAGACUCCUACGGGAGGCAGCAGUGGGGAAUUUUGGACAAUGGGGGCAACCCUGAUCCAGCAAUGCCGCGUGUGUGAAGAAGGCCUUCGGGUUGUAAAGCACUUUUGUCCGGAAAGAAAUCGCACUUACUAAUAUUAGGUGUGGAUGACGGUACCGGAAGAAUAAGGACCGGCUAACUACGUGCCAGCAGCCGCGGUAAUAC